rnacentral:rRNA from 1 species
UACGAAGGGGGCGAGCGUUGUUCGGAAUUACUGGGCGUAAAGCGCACGUAGGCGGAUUUGUAAGUCAGGGGUGAAAUCCCGAGGCUCAACCUCGGAACUGCCUUUGAUACUGCAAAUCUCGAGUCCGGAAGAGGUGAGUGGAAUUCCUAGUGUAGAGGUGAAAUUCGUAGAUAUUAGGAAGAACACCAGUGGCGAAGGCGGCUCACUGGUCCGGUACUGACGCUGAGGUGCGAAAGCGUGGGGAGCAAACAGG